CCUACGGGUGGCAGCAGUGAGGAAUAUUGGUCAAUGGACGAGAGUCUGAACCAGUCAAGUAGCGUGAAGGAUGACUGCCCUAUGGGUUGUAAACUUCUUUUAUAUGGGAAUAAAACGUUCCACGUGUGGGAUUUUGUAUGUACCAUAUGAAUAAGGAUCGGCUAACUCCGUGCCAGCAGCCGCGGUAAUACGGACGAUCCGAGCGUUAUCCGGAUUUAUUGGGUUUAAAGGGAGCGUAGGUGGAUUGUUAAGUCAGUUGUGAAAGUUUGCGGCUCAACCGUAAAAUUGCAGUUGAAACUGGCAGUCUUGAGUACAGUAGAGGUGGGCGGAAUUCGUGGUGUAGCGGUGAAAUGCUUAGAUAUCACGAAGAACUCCGAUUGCGAAGGCAGUUCACUGGACUGCAACUGACACUGAGGCUCGAAAGUGUGGGUAUCAAACAGGAUUAGAUACCCUUGUAGUC
rnacentral:rRNA from 1 species